UCCCUGGCAGUCCAAUGGUUAGGACACCACACUUCCACUGCAGGGAACAUGGGUUCAAUCCCUGGUCAGGGAA
rnacentral:tRNA from 1 species